ACGGAAGCAAAUAGACUCGUAAGCCGAGGUAUAUUAAAUGUGGCUGGCCCCGCCCAUUUGUCCCGAAGAGGAGAAAGUUGUGACGUGUGACGCAGACUCUCCACCUGUCUUAUAUCCUCAACCUACAGAAAUCAGUUCCGGGAAUUUCGAAGUCGACGCACUCCUGGGGAAAUUUUAACUACGUCAUCAACCUCUGUGCUCUUCAAUUGAAGUGGUGAAAGAGCUGGUGCAGAUGCCGCUGGAGUUCGUGGGGUAUGGAGCCCUCGGCGGGGCCGUCCACUUGCUCGAGAAGGACCUGUUUGCGCUGCCCAGCUCCCUGCACCACCGUCUGUCUGAGGGUCUGACCUUCACGCACGUGGGCCCUGCAACACGGAGAGGAGCCCAGAACGGGACGGAAUACACCCUCCUCAACUGAUACCACAGACUCUGAGGAGGAUGCUUUAAAGUCGAGCAACCUGUCCUGAAGGAGUGGUUUGUCGAGGUCCGAAGACUCAGAAUCUGGAAACAAUACACUGCUGCCAAAUAAGAGACAAUCGAUUCUGGUGUACAUGACCUGCAGUUGAAAUAUUGGUUAUCCUCAAUUUUGGCUAUGUCAACAUGAGGAACAGGGGAGUCUGGAGAAAGAACCCUGAAUUCACAUUGUGACACCACAGACUCUGGGGAGGAUGCUCUGAAGUCGAACAACCAUUCCCGAAGGAGUGAUGUGUCCUGAUCAGAGGAAACACAAUCUGGAGAAAAUGCCCUGCUGCUAUGUGAUGUAUCAAGUUCCAAUUCUGACAAAACUGAUUGUGGAGAGAUUGGUCUGGCCUCAUCAAAAAGGACAAAAUAAUCCCUUCUCAACUGAUACCACAGACUCUGGGGAAGAUACUCUGAGGUUUAACAACCAUUUCUGAAGGAGUGACCUGUCCUGAUCAGAGGAAACUAAAUCUGGAGACAAUGCCCUGCUGCUAUGUAAGAGACAAUCGAUUCUGGUGUGCAUGACCUGCAGUUGAAAUAUUGGUUAUCCUCAAUUUUGGCUAUGUCAACACGAGGAACAGGGGAGUCUGGAGAAAGAACCCUGAAUUCACAUUGUGACACCACAGACUCUGGGGAGGAUGCUCUGAAGUCGAACAACCAUUCCCAAAGGAGUGAUGUGUCCUGAUCAGAGGAAACAGAAUCUGGAGACAAUGCCCUGCUGCUAUGUGAGGACAAAAUAAGCCCUUCUCAACUGAUACCACAGACUCUGGGGAAGAUACUCUGAGGUCUAACAACCAGUUCUGAAGGAGUGACCUGUCCUGAUCAGAGGAAACUAAAUCUGGAGACAAUGCCCUGCUGCUAUGUAAGAGACAAUCGAUUCUGGUGUGCAUGACCUGCAGUUGAAAUAUUGGUGAUCCUCAAUUUUGGCUAUGUCAACAUGAGGAACAGGGGAGUCUGGAGAAAGAACCCUGAAUUCACAUUGUGACACCGCAGACUCUGGGGAGGAUGCUCUGAAGUUGAACAACCAUUCCCGAAGGAGUGAUGUGUCUUGAUCAGAAGAAACAGAAUCUGGAGACAAUGCCCUGCUGCUAUGCGAGGUAUCAAGUUCCAAUUCUGACAAAACUGAUUGUGGAGAGAUUGGUCUGGCCUCAUCAAAAAGGACAAAAUAAGCCCUUCUCAACUGUUACCACAGACUUUGGGGAAGAUACUCUGAGGUUUAACAACCAGUUCUGAAGGAGUGACCUGUCCUGAUCAGAGGAAACAAAAUCUGGAGACAAUGCCCUGCUGCUAUGUAAGAGACAAUCGAUUCUGGUGUGCAUGACCUGCAGUUGAAAUAUUGGUGAUCCUCAAUUUUGGCUAUGUCAACAUGAGGAACAGGGGAGUCUGGAGAAAGAACC